GUGAUUUUGCCGGUGAUAGGCAAGGACUCAUGCGAGAGUACCGCGUCCAUGUCGCUAACGGGAUUUGACUGUGAGUUCGCCAAAACCUGUAAAACUCUCGUCCGUUCUGAUUACCAAAGAAUCUUUGUCCAAGUAGCUGCCUCUCACUUCAAUUCUCUGCAUCAACAUCUUUUGAAAAGGCUGUGCUGUGGAAACCGUUCAACUGUAGGCUGCUGUGGCAAUAUUGAUUCCAUCAAUGUGCGCAGGAAUAUCUUCUCUUCUCAUCGACAUCAGCAUGGUGGCUGGCUAUCAUGGAAGUCGAAGGAAUAGUUCAGUGACUCCGGUAACACUGGCAUGGAAGCGAAAGGACGGCCCCGUACGUGCACCGUUCCAUUUUGAAGGCAGCCCCACAGAACACAAGAACGGGUGUAUAAAGUCAUUAUUUGUGCUUCCGGGUGACAACAGCAGCUGCAGCGACGGUGGAUAGAGGAUCGGUCAAUCCUUUCCUUUGGGGACCUUGUAAAGAGACCAGGAGCCCGUUUCUGCAUUUGAACAGCUAAACUAGAUUUUCAUUUCCAGUCGAACCGGUACACUCCAGCCAAUAGGCGACGACCAUUGCCGACUAUUUUGGAUCGCGAUUUAUACAUGCAAUACUGUUUCUCCUUUCCAGUCUUCGUGAGUGACGCAUGAGGUCAACCUGGCAUAGUAGAUGGUUCGUUCUCCGUUGGAAACUAUGCAGCUAGCUGGGAAAAGGGAAAAGUGAGUCUCUGAGACGUCCGUCCCUCCCCUUGUGCUGGCCGGUGAGACAUACAGUUUUACGACCUUGUGAGUUGUAACGGAGGCAUACGCAUGCCUGAAUAUCCCACAGUGAGCGCGGAACUGCAGAACAAGUGGAUGUGAGUUACUUUCCAUCUGAAUGAGAAAUACCGCAAAGUGUAUCUUCUUUCCUCUCUGGGGAAGGAUCCGCUUGCUGGAAUUGUACCAUUCUUGUAUCCUUUCAUGGCAACGACCCAGGGUAGGCGUUUCCCGCAAAUAUUGAAUGGAACGGGUAUAUCAACCGCUUAAGAGCUGAUCAUUGUAAUUUGAUAUGGUUCGAAACAACACGUGUUAGACGGGGUUUUAAGGUGCUGCGCCGUUUUUAUUCCUUGUCAUAUCCACCUAGCUGCAUGUGGCUACCAGAUCUAUGCACUGAAUUUCCGGAUUUUGCCGCUCGCCGAACAGGUGAGAACAAGGAUUUGAUCGCGCUAAAUUCUUUGACUGUGUACAAUGGCAUACGGUUACAGGUGUUCGCAGAGAAGAUCCACC
rnacentral:lncRNA from 1 species